rnacentral:rRNA from 1 species
UGAGGAAUAUUGGGUCAAUGGACGAGAGUCUGAACCAGCCAAGUCGCGUGAAGGAAGACGGAUCUAUGGUUUGUAAACUUCUUUAGUGCGGGAACAAAGCGGCGUCGUGACGCCGGAUGAGUGUACCGCAAGAAUAAGCAUCGGCUAACUCCGUGCCAGCAGCCGCGGUAAUACGGAGGAUGCGAGCGUUAUCCGGAUUUAUUGGGUUUAAAGGGAGCGCAGGCUGCGAGGCAAGUCAGCGGUCAAAUGUCGGGGCUCAACCCCGGCCUGCCGUUGAAACUGUCCUGCUAGAGUUCGAGUGAGGUAUGCGGAAUGCGUUGUGUAGCGGUGAAAUGCAUAGAUAUGACGCAGAACUCCGAUUGCGAAGGCAGCAUACCAACUCGCGACUGACGCUGAGGCUCGAAAGCGUGGGUAU